rnacentral:rRNA from 1 species
CACGUAGGGUGCGAGCGUUGUCCGGAAUUAUUGGGCGUAAAGAGCUCGUAGGCGGUGUGUCGCGUCGGCCGUGAAAACCUGCAGCUUAACUGUGGGCUUGCGGUCGAUACGGGCAUCACUGGAGUUCGGCAGGGGAGACUGGAAUUCCUGGUGUAGCGGUGAAAUGCGCAGAUAUCAGGAGGAACACCGGUGGCGAAGGCGGAUCUCUGGGCCAUUACUGACGC